rnacentral:rRNA from 1 species
AACUUUGAGCGGUGGAUCACUCAGCUCGUGUGUCGAUGAAGAGUGCAGCCAACUGUGUGAAUUAAUGUGAACUGCAUACUGCUUUGAACAUCGACAUCUUGAACGCAUAUUGCGGCUACGGGAUAUCCUGUGGCCACGCCUGUCCGAGGGUCG